rnacentral:rRNA from 1 species
GAUGAACGCUAGCUACAGGCUUAACACAUGCAAGUCGAGGGGCAGCGCAGUGUAGCAAUACAUGGGCGGCGACCGGCGCACGGGUGAGUAACGCGUAGGUAUCUAUCCUUGGGUGGGGGACAACCACGGGAAACUGUGGCUAAUACCGCAUGAAGACUGAGGUCCAAAGGCCGAAAGGUCGCCUAAGGAGGAGCCUGCGUCCGAUUAGCUUGUUGGUGGGGUAAAGGCCUACCAAGGCUCCGAUCGGUAGCUGGUCUGAGAGGAUGAUCAGCCACACUGGGACUGAGACACGGCCCAGACUCCUACGGGAGGCAGCAGUGGGGAAUAUUGGACAAUGGGGCGAAAGCCUGAUCCAGCAAUGCCGCGUGGGUGAAGAAGGUCUUCGGAUUGUAAAGCCCUUUCGACGGGGACGAUGAUGACGGUACCCGUAGAAGAAGCCCCGGCUAACUCGUGCCAGCAGCCGCGGUAAUGUGUAGU